AGCGCAGGUGGGAAAGUAAGUUAAAUGUGAAAUCUACGGGCUCAACUCGUAAAUUGCGUUUGAUACUAUUUUCUUGAGUGGAGUAGAGGCAGGCGGAAUUCCAGGUGUAGCGGUGGAAUGCGUAGAUAUCUGGAGGAACACCAGUGGCGAAGGCGGCCUGCUGGGCUCUAACUGACACUGAGGCUCGAAAGCGUGGGUAGCAAACA
rnacentral:rRNA from 1 species